ensembl:lincRNA
CGGUUGUCAGUGACUCAGGCCUUGGGCUGUUAAUGCCCUGACGGCUUAUCUAACCUUUAUCUACAAGCAUGAGAAGAAAUCUAAUUUGAGCUCUGCUGCUGAUUCCUUUUGGUUUCAGAAGCUCUGGGCCAGAGAAUACCUACCAGAUCCAAGGCAUCAGAGAAAACAACAUUAAACAAGCAGACUACCCUUCCCCUUCUUGCCACUUAUGCUUUAUGAGACUGCAGUGGCCACUGUCUUCAUGUACGGUUUCAGGAACAGGAAAAAGAACACUACUACACAGGAGGAAAAGCAGCAUCUGUAUUGUGAAGCCAAAAAUGUUUCUCAUACUUUUUGAAGAAGUAGGUUUGAGUCACAUAGUCCACCUUAGCUGCAAGGAAGGCUGGGGUUAUUUGGACAAGGGUGGUCGGGCAAUGCUUAGCCCUGAGCAAAAUAAGAAGUCUCUUCAGAUAGAAGACAGAGUACGGAUACUGCAUAAGCAAACAGGUAUGCCUGACACACCAUUUUACUGUAGGUACAAAGUAAAAAGACAAUGCAACAUAGCAGGAAGAAUGAUUAACUUUCUGAGGAGCUAAAGUGUGCUGCCAGAAAUGGGGUUUGAGCUAGAAAGAGCCAUUGUAUUAUAAACAAAAGCUAUGUAAAUGAUGUUGAUUGUGCAUGUAAUUUCAAAGUUAAUUUCCUAAGUAAAUAAUCACUUAUAUGUCUGUUAAUAGAAGUAAUAAAACAGUAACUCAUGGCUUAGAGUAGUUGUUUUUACAGGAAGCAUGAUCUAAGGGAGUGGGACAGAGGACAGUCACAUUAGUAAGUCAAUCGCAGGAAUGACAGGCUGUUUUGGUGGGAAUCCAGGAAUGACUAGAAACUGUAUAAUGAUGGGCGUUGAAACUGAAUGAAAAUAUAAGCAGAAAAGUAAUUUUGAAAGGCCCUGACACAAGGACACAGAAAUAGAAAAUGUAAACAGAGCCUUGUGUAUCUUUUUUACCACAAACUGAUGGUAAGCAAUAAAUUUCCAAUAGAAGUGGAAAGAACAGAUAAACCCAGUCCAGAUUUCCAUGUUCACUGAAGAGCUACUGAAUAGAGAUUCUGGGACCUGAACAUGCUCUACAAAAAUAAAAAUUAAAAGGAAAAGAAAGAAAGAAGGAAAGAAAGAAAGAGAGAGAAAGAGAGAGAGCGAGAGAGAGAGAGAGAGAGAGAGAGAGAGAGAGAGAAAGAAAGAAAGAAAGAAAGAAAGAAAGAAAGAAAGAAAGAAAGAAAGAAAGAAAGAAANNNNNNNNNNNNNNNNNNNNNNNNNNNNNNNNNNNNNNNNNNNNNNNNNNNNNNNNNNNNNNNNNNNNNNNNNNNNNNNNNNNNNNNNNNNNNNNNNNNNAAGAAAGAAAGAAAGAGUGAGUUUGUAAAAAGGUGAUUUUAGUUCUCUUUCUGGCCAAGAAGGAAUAACAGGGACUAUAUACCCUCCUGCCUGAAACAAUUAAACAAAAAGAUAAGAGAUGGGAAGCAGUGUUUUUCAAGACACUGGAUCUCAGACAAAGGAGUGUGACUCCUAAGAGAUGGGGUGAGAGGAACCAGGGUCAUAACAUCCCAGUUAUGGCCUGAAGAAAGUUUCCAGGCUGUUACACAAGGAAGGAGACUCAGGAGGAUCCCAUCAGACUCCCUGAGUUGAAGGGAUGGGAUGGAGGCUGGCAGAUACAUCACUAAGAGACCACGCCAGCUAGAGUUUGAAAAAUAGGGAACGGGAGAAAAGAGACUUUCCUGCAGACAGCACUCCAGAUGUUUAAAAGGUUUCUGUUGACUGUUUGGUAGAAUGCUGAAUUUUUUGCACAUAAAUUAUUUUGUACUGAUUAUUUUUCCAUGUAACUGUGAAGGAAGCACCAGGACCCCCUUUGACAUUUCUUCUCAAAAGCAAUGGAGCAGCACCUCUAAGGUACUGAAAUGUACGUGAAGGUAGAAUUCUAUACCUACAGAAAAUAUCCUUUCAAAGCUUUUCAGUCAUACAAAAGUUGAAAGAAUUUAUGUCCAGCAGACCUGCUCUGUAAGAAAUAUUAAGGGGCAUUUCUUUAGACAGGGAAAAUGAUAACAGAAGUAUGGAUCCAUAGUAGGAAAUUCAGGGCACCAAAAAUGGUACCCAUAUGGGUAAAUAUGAAAUUCUUUUUCAUAUUACUUAAAUACCUUUAACAGGUAAUUAACUGGGGGUCAAUUAUGUGCUUUGAUCUAGAAAUAAUAAUUGUACUAUAAGACAGAGCUACAUAAGUGAUUUUCAUAAUUAACAAAAGAAAAAAUAGUAUGGGGUCAAAGCAUGAAAAUGUCUAAAAACAAUGCCACAGUGAUUAGGAGGAGGAAAAUGGGAAUAUAUUAGUGUAGAUUUUUUAUUACAUAUCAAAUAUAAAAUCACUAAAAGGCAAGCUGUCAUAAUUUAAAGAUACAUACUGUGAACCCUAUAGCAACCACUAAAACAGCAAAAUAAAGAAUUAUAGCUCAAUACUCAAAAGGUAGAUGAAAUAAAAUGAUUUAAUGCAUCCAGCAAAUCAAAAGAAUGCAGUAAAAAUGAAGAACAAAAAGCAGAUGAGAUGAAUAAAACAUAAGAUAAUAGAUUUAAACCUAACUAAACCAAUAAGAUCUACAAUAAGAAUAGGAUAAACCCUUCAGUUAAAUGUUUAAGAUUUUCAGGUUUGAUUGUUCAAUGAAACCCAACUACAUGGGUCCAGAACCACCAAGGGCAAUAUAGCAAACCUCAUUUCAAACUAAAUUAAUAAAUGAAGCCAGGCAUAGUGGUACACACCUGCCAUUCUAGUGCUGUAGGAGGCAGAAACAGGAGAAUCACAAGUACCAAUCCAACCUGAGCAACUUAGUGAAAUUCUAUCUUAAAUUUAAAAAAUAUAAAAAGGGGGUGGGGAUGUAGAUCAAUGUGAAGGCCCUGGGUUCAAUCCUCAGCACUGCAAAAAAAAAAAAAAUCCAAUUUUAUGCUUCCUAAAAGACAUACCUUAAUACUUGUGUUAAGACAUUAUCACGUCUGGAAUAUAGACAAUAUUUGGUUAAAAAUUAAAGGUAUGGAAAAAUGCAUGCCAUGCUAAUGCUAAUCAAAUUACAGCUGAAGGAGCUAUAUUACUAUCAAAAUAGGUAUCAAAGCAAAAGAUAUUACCAACAGUAAUGAAGGUUGUUACAAAAUAAUAAUGAAACCAAUUUAUCAGGAGGAAAUAACAAUCGCAAAUAUUAAUGUAUAUAUCCACGGAACUUAAAAACACAAAGCAAAACAAACCUAGCAGAAAUGGAAGGAGAAAAAGGAACAAGGAAACCCACAAUUAAAACAAAACAAAACAAAAAAAAAGAAACCCACAAUUAUAUGUUGAGAUUUCAACACUUUGCUCUCAACAAUUAAUAGAACAGGAAAUUAGUAAGCACUCAGAAGACUCAAGCAACACAGUUGGUGCACUUGACCAAACUGAUAUUUGUAAGCACUCCACAGCAGCCAACUAUAUCUUCUUUCCAAGUAUACCUACUAAGUUAGGUCAUAAAAUAGCUCUCAAUAAAAUUAAAUGGAUUUAAAUAAAAGAAAGUAUAUUCUCUGGCAAAUGUGGAAUUAAAUUAGAGACCAAUAUGAUUAUGAUCUCUGGGAAAUCUCCCAAAGAUUUUAAAAAAUAGGCAAGUCAAUAAGUCAAGAGUCAAAGAAAAAAAAUCAAAAAGAAAAUUAAAAUUAUUUUGAAUGAAUGAAAGUGAAAACCCAAUAUACCAAAAUUUGCAGCAUGCCACUAAAAUAGUGCUUAUAAAAAAUACAGUAUUAUCAGUCCAUCUUCCAUUGCUGUAACCAAAUACCCAAGGCUAGGUAAUGUAUUAAAAAUAAUUUAUUUAGCUAAUAGUUUGAAGGCUGAAAUUCCAAAUUGCACAGCACUAGCUCUGACAAAGGGCCUGUGACUAUGUCACUUCAUGGUAGAUGACAGAGCGGUGGGAGAAGUGGUGAUACAGGAACCUAGAGUGAAACUGAGACAGUUCAGGCUUGCCCUUCUAUAAUACCUCUGUUGUGGAAACAGACUGUAGUCCCAUGAGAAGGACUUAAUUAUUUCCAAGGGCGAUGCCUCUGGUGACCCAAGCAGCUUGCACUGAACUCCAUCCCUUAAAUGUCCCACCACUUCUCACAUUUCCAAAAUUCCAAAAUACCAACCCUUGGAAGACAAACCACACCCAAGCGGUAGCAAGCACGAUAUUAGGAAAGAAGUUUGUUAGGUUGAUGACUUUGGUUUCCUCUUCAAUUAACCAGACAAAGAAGAUCCAGCCAGAAUGAUCAGGGAAAAAAGAAGACACAAAAUACCACUAUCAGGAAGGAAAGAGGUAUGACUCUACAGGCUCUUCAGAUAUUAAAAGUAUAAUGAGAGACUAUUAUGAACAGAAGUAUGCCAAUAAACUUGAAAAUUAAGAUGAAAUAGAGAAGUUUCUUGAAAGGACACUAAUUACCAAAGCCACCCAGGAAGGAAUAGACAAUUUGAUGAACACUACAUCUUUUAAAAAAGUUGAAUUGAUCAUUAAAAACCGUACACAAAAACACUAAACCUAGAUUGCCACAGGUGAAUUCUUUCACAUAUUUCAGGGAGAAAUCGUGUCAAUUCUACACAAACUUUCCAAAAAUUUGUAGAGAAGUGAAUUACUCGCCCAACAUAUGCUAGGAGGUUAACCUUCUUUAAAGCCAGUUUCUCUCACAAGUAUAAAUUUUAUCAAAUCAAAUCAAUAAUAUACAAAACGAUAAUAUGCCAUGACAAAAUACAAUCUUCAGAAAUCAAUUAAUGUAUUUUACCACAUAUAGUGGAUUGACAAGUGGUGGUCAACUUUUAACCCCCAGCUGAACUGAGUAAGCGUGGUGCUGGGUGUGGGAGGCCCACCUAGGGACUGUUGCCAACAGCAUAAGAGGCAGAACCGGAGAAGGAGGAUGCUGUUGGGAACUGAAAGGCUGUUUGGAGCUGGUAGAAGCUGUAAGGAGCUGUUGGUUGUUUUGGAGGAGCUCGUCAUGCUGGCUUUCCUGAUGAAGUUGGCUGUUUUCAUCCUCCGAGGAGCUCAGGAUCUUGUUGGCACUGAGAAUAGCUUCAGUUCACUUUGGGAGAGCUCUGGUCGU